rnacentral:rRNA from 1 species
UACGUAGGGGGCAAGCGUUAUCCGGAUUUACUGGGUGUAAAGGGAGCGUAGACGGUGAUGCAAGUCAGAAGUGAAAUCCAUGGGCUUAACCCGUGAACUGCUUUUGAAACUGUAGGGCUUGAGUGAAGUAGAGGCAGGCGGAAUUCCCGGUGUAGCGGUGAAAUGCGUAGAGAUCGGGAGGAACACCAGUGGCGAAGGCGGCUCUCUGGUCUGCAACUGACGCUGAGGCUCGAAAGCAUGGGUAGCGAACAGG